UUUAAAUCAUAUUAACAAAGGGAGUAGGAGAGAAUGGAAUAUUCCAUUGAACAUCCCAAUGUGAUGCAUAAGAAUAACACUUUUUUUUUUUCUCUUCUAGCCUGUGUGUGGAUUUUAAUUAUGCUGCAGAGACUGUCAAUCAUUGCUCUUCAAACAUUUGGGGAGUAGCAUGAGACAUCACAACACUAGAAGUGACACUGUUCUUGAUGUACAACAUGUGACCACAAAGUGCCGGAGGCACCAGAGCCUUGAACAUAUGGCACAGACCCACACAAUUGUGGAAGUGCUAUAGUCCAGGAUGUGCGGCACAUACAUUCAUGGUUGUAGAGAUGCCAUGAUCCUGAGUGUGUAGCAUAUGCACACAAUUCCAGACAUGCCAGUAUUCAUAUGUCCACCAAACACAAAUGUGUACUAAAACCCGAACAGGAGCUGUGCCCAUUCAUCAUGCAAAUAACAUUUGUGGUUUUCACUGCUCAGGAGAUUCAUUUAAGAUCCCACAGAUGAAUAUUUUCUAUUUCCCCCCCCCCCCCCCCCCAGUAUUUUAAUUCCUGCCAAAUUACCCAGUCACUGUAGAACUUAGUUGUAAGAUGAUCCAAAAAAGAAAAAAAUCAUGAACAAGCUUGCCAGGCCUGUCUUUAACCAGUUUCUAUGUUAUUUAUAUAUGUGAGUACAAUCAGCAUUUAUUUCCGAAGGCCUUCUUGGACUGUUUACCCGAGAGUGUUCCCACUAGUUCUUUUCUUCUGCCCUUCACAGGUGAAAGAUGUUGGUGCAGCUGUUCUCACCACACUAAAGUGCUAGUGUGACUUCCAUAGUGACUCUGUGACUUCACUCCAGGGCUGGCUAAGAAAGCUUUUACUUAUUUUUCUGUAUCAAAUGUUGCACUUCUACAGGAUUUUCUUGAAAAAUGAAAAAGAAGUGCAGAUUGAGAGCCUGGGGUCACAAAAAAGGGACGAAAAAACACUGAGACAAUCUUCCAGCAAGGUCACCAUAAAAGGCAAGACCUUGGCUCUAAGUUUUCCCACUGAAGCUGUAACUUCACUCCCAGAGAAUAAUGUUGCUAAUCCUGCAUGCACAAAAACGCUGCUUUUGGAUUUUUAAAAAAAUCUUAAUGUCUAAAAAGUGAAAAUGGUGUAGCUGUUUGGCAGAGCAGUCAGGGAGACUAAAUGGAGCAUAUGGGAACAUUCAACUUUUCAAGUGAGGAGGAGGGAGGAGGAGGGAAGCAGGUUGGACCCGUAAGUCUGUAAAAACAGCCUGCUGCAAAGGGAAAGCAAAGGUCUGGAACUAUCAACCAGGCAAGGAUCCCUUGACCUCAGGGAUUAUCAUGGAUACAGUGGUGCAAGGGAAGCAGGAUCUAGUUCCACUUGUGCAAAAAUGUUUGCUGCUGGAACCACAGACCUAGGCCUGAACUGCCCUCUAUUACCACUCUGAUAUUCAUAGACGUACUAGCAUCAAAACCCCUCCAGGUGCACAAUGUGGGGUGUGAGAGAUCAGGAAUGCCAUUCCACAUGAGAUAAGGUCUGACUCCUUGCUGGCCAGGUGUUUUUGGUAGUCUAAUGCUUCAAGCUGUUGCUGUGUUGCAAUAAAUCAAAGACACAUCCAGUCUAUUCAUCACACUGAUCUGUACCUGUCACCAAAUUCUCCUCCUCUUCCUGAUGAAGGCAGGAGAGCAUUCAGGUGUCUUCUUGUUUGUUCUACUUUUAUCUUUCCUGACUCAUUUUAGACUGGUCACUGCUUACCUAUACUGAUAAGGAGAUGAGACAGGCUUGUCUUUUCUCUGAUGGCAGCAGACGGGGUAGAGGUGCACCUUAUAGGCUUCAGACUAAAAGGUCUAACUACCGCUCUCUUUUCCACUCGUUUCUCAUGGGAUAUAACGGCAACAACUAUAAUGAUCUAAUAUCACAAUGCUUCCUGCACUGUUUCAGGGUGUUGUAAAAAUUUGGAGACAGGAAGAGAAUC